rnacentral:rRNA from 1 species
UACGGAGGGUGCAAGCGUUGUUCGGAAUCAUUGGGCGUAAAGCGCGUGUAGGCGGCUUGGCAAGUCGGUUGUGAAAGCCCGGGGCCCAACCCCGGAACUGCAUCUGAAACUGCCUGGCUAGAGUCCCGGAGAGGAAGGCAGAAUUCCCGGUGUAGGGGUUAAAUCCGUAGAUAUCGGGAGGAAUACCAGCGGCGAAGGCGGCCUUCUGGACGGUGACUGACGCUGAGACGCGAAAGCGUGGGGAGCAAACAGG